rnacentral:lncRNA from 1 species
GUGAUGAGAGAGUUGUCAUCACACAGGGAAUAAGGAUUAAUUCUAGUAUAUUUGAUAUAUUUAAAUUUAUGUUUGUAACUAAAAGACGAUCGAAAGAAUAGCUAAAUAAUUUUUAUAACUAAAACUUGUGAAAAGAAUGAAAAUUGGUUUAAAAAUCAAAUAUGCGAACGUAUUGGAUUUUCGACGCUACUGAUCAAUUCUUAAUUCUAAUUCUCAACCAAUAACAAUUAUCUCAAUUCAUGCAAUUGCGACGAUCGGUAAUUCCACUUUUAUUUAUUAUUCUUUUCCAAGAUAUAUUAAACCUAUGUUUACCACGAGAGAAUCCUAUUCAUAGUCUGAAUUCAUAUGACAAACAUGCAUUUAUAUUUAGGAUUAUCACAAAUGAUCGCAGACGCCACAAAUAUUAUUCCUGACAUUUAUUGCUCGUACAUCCCAAUAAUAGUGUUCUACUUAUCGUGAGUUUUUCAACACUAAGAAUAAGCAAUUUAUUGUCGUAAUAGUGCGCAAACAUUAAAAUAAUAUAAUUAUGCACAUUAAUAAAAUCACAACACAAUAAUUAAGAUAAAAAUACAGGUCUCGAAUUAAAACUAAGAAUUAAAUAGUUAUGUCAUCCAUCCAAUAUAUGAAAAUAUUUAGCCUAGCAUAAGAUAGGAAUUAAACGCGUAAAAUUGGAGAGACAUCACCGAGAAAUUGAUGGAACGUGAUUAACUCCACGAAUUUUCUCCACUUUUGCACGUGCGUGGCUUGUCUAGGUAGAUAUGUUUUUCCCCCAAUUGGCUUGUAAACAAAUUCCCCAACAAGCUGCCCCUUUUUUUGCAGUCUCCAAUUUAGAAUCAAAUCCCCUUCCUUUUCCUUGUAUAUUGUAGCAGCCAACACUGUGUAUGUGACUCCCCACAAUGUUGCUAAUUUUAUUGACUAUAAUUUUCUCCAACUCCUUCCCAAAUCCAGCUGCCUUUUUGUCUAUAUAUCAUAAAACUCAACAGCUCUUUUUCCUUUUCCCAUCUUGUCUGCCAGUGUACAGGAUGCGUAUGUAUACUUUUAAAUUCAGCAAAAGCCCCCAAAAAUGUUUUUCCUCCAAGUUGGCAUGUGAAAUAUAUAAAGGCAGCUGCAGUUUUCUUUCAAUUCCUCCCACAGCCGCCCUAUUGAUCCGAUUGGCGUGUUUUUUAAUCCCCUAAGAUGGCAGCCCUUUUU